GGAAAUGAAGAGGGGAAAUCUUAAAAUCCAGAAGUAAUAGUUCUAGAAUAAUUACUAUAUAUUUAAUUUUUUCAAAGGGCUGGAAAGGCAAGGAGAGGAGGGCUUAUAAAUGCUGCUCUCUCAGCCUCUGGCACACAUGGCCUACAUAGAAGCUGGGAUAUCUUUCUGGAAUAUGCUAAUUACACACAGGGCAUUUUUGUGCCAUUUCACAUAUCUAUCUAGCAUACCCUAACUAAUCCUUAUUUGAUUUCUUUCUGACCAUGAGAGGGGAUGCUGAGAUGCCCAAAGAUGUGCAAAUGGCGGGAUCCGGCGCCCCAUAGUAGGCAGGGGAGUGAAGAUUUCUCACGUCGGGUCUUCCUAGACCUUUAGGUCACACGGGAAUUGUUCUGUUUAUAGACGGCGCUGGCCUUAGUACUCACUCUCCCUCUAUUUUCCUUGCUUCCUUAUAACUAGGUUUCCCUACUCACUUCCUCAAAAAGAGUGAUGUAGGUCCAUGUGUACCCUCCCAACUGGCCUGGGUCCUCUCACUUCUUUGUAAGGCCUGAAAAAUUCCCUGGUGGGGGAUGGUUAGAAAAGGAAGAGGAAGCUUCUUUGUAAGUGUGCAAGUCAGAAGGGGAGGGAGAAAAGUGACAAUUUAUAUAUCUGGGACAAAUAUAUCUUGGACCCAGGUUUUGCCACCUGUCUGCAUCCCCCCAUGCCCUUUCCCCUCCAGUGAUCAAAUAGCUCUCUGGAUGCCCCUUAAUUCUUCCACCCCAUCCAUUCUGAUCUACCCAGCACUUGCC
rnacentral:lncRNA from 1 species